rnacentral:rRNA from 1 species
AACGAACGCUGGCGGCGUGGAUAAGACAUGCAAGUCGAACGGGACUUGAUUGGUAGCAAUACUAAUUAAGUUCAGUGGCAAACGGGUGCGUAACACGUGAGCAAUCUGCCGGAAAGUGGGGGAUAGCUCGCCGAAAGGCGAAUUAAUACCGCAUAUGGCCAGGGAGGACAUCCUUCCGCAGCCAAAGUCGCAAGACGCUUUCUGAUGAGCUCGCGACCUAUCAGCUUGUUGGUGAGGUAACGGCUCACCAAGGCUUUGACGGGUAGCUGGUCUGAGAGGACGACCAGCCACAAUGGAAAUGAGACACGGUCCAGACACCUACGGGUGGCAGCAGUCGAGAAUUUUUCACAAUGGGGGAAACCCUGAUGGAGCGACGCCGCGUGGAGGAUGAAGGUCUUCGGAUUGUAAACUCCUGUCAUGCGGGAACAAGAAAGUGAUAGUACCGCAAGAGGAAGAGACGGCUAACUCUGUGCCAGCCGCCGCGGUAA